CACGUAGGGCGCAAGCGUUGUCCGGAAUUAUUGGGCGUAAAGAGCUCGUAGGCGGUCUGUCGCGUCUGUUGUGAAAACUCGAGGCUCAACCUCGGGCUUGCAGUGGAUACGGGCAGACUAGAGUGCGGUAGGGGAGACUGGAAUUCCUGGUGUAGCGGUGGAAUGCGCAGAUAUCAGGAGGAACACCGAUGGCGAAGGCAGGUCUCUGGGCCGCAACUGACGCUGAGGAGCGAAAGCAUGGGGAGCGAACAGG
rnacentral:rRNA from 1 species